rnacentral:rRNA from 1 species
UACGUAGGGGGCAAGCGUUGUCCGGAAUCAUUGGGCGUAAAGCGCGUGUAGGCGGCCAGGUAAGUCCGUUCUGAAAGCCCGGGGCUCAACCCCGGGAGGCGGAUGGAUACUGCUUGGCUCGAGUCCGGAAGAGGCGAGUGGAAUUCCCGGUGUAGCGGUGAAAUGCGCAGAUAUCGGGAGGAACACCAAUGGCGAAGGCGGCGUUCUGGACUGCAACUGACACUGAGAAACGAAAGCCAGGGUAGCAAACGGG